GAUGAACGCUAGCGGGAGGCCUAACACAUGCAAGCCGAGCGGUAUUGUUUCUUCGGAAAUGAGAGAGCGGCGUACGGGUGCGGAACACGUGUGCAACCUGCCUUUAUCUGGGGGAUAGCCUUUCGAAAGGAAGAUUAAUACUCCAUAAUAUAUUGAACGGCAUCGUUUAAUAUUGAAAGCUCCGGCGGAUAGAGAUGGGCACGCGCAAGAUUAGCUAGUUGGUGAGGUAACGGCUCACCAAGGCGAUGAUCUUUAGGGGGCCUGAGAGGGUGAUCCCCCACACUGGUACUGAGACACGGACCAGACUCCUACGGGAGGCAGCAGUGAGGAAUAUUGGUCAAUGGGUGCAAGCCUGAACCAGCCAUCCCGCGUGAAGGACGACUGCCCUAUGGGUUGUAAACUUCUUUUGUAUAGGGAUAAACCUACCCUCGUGAGGGUAGCUGAAGGUACUAUACGAAUAAGCACCGGCUAACUCCGUGCCAGCAGCCGCGGUAAUACGGAGGGUGCAAGCGUUAUCCGGAUUUAUUGGGUUUAAAGGGUCCGUAGGCGGACUUAUAAGUCAGUGGUGAAAGCCUGUCGCUUAACGAUAGAACUGCCAUUGAUACUGUAAGUCUUGAGUAUAUUUGAGGUAGCUGGAAUAAGUAGUGUAGCGGUGAAAUGCAUAGAUAUUACUUAGAACACCAAUUGCGAAGGCAGGUUACCAAGAUAUAACUGACGCUGAGGGACGAAAGCGUGGGGAGCGAACAGGAUUAGAUACCCUGGUAGUCCACGCCGUAAACGAUGCUAACUCGUUUUUGGGCUUUAGGGUUCAGAGACCAAGCGAAAGUGAUAAGUUAGCCACCUGGGGAGUACGCUCGCAAGAGUGAAACCCAAAGGAAUUGACGGGGGCCCGCACAAGCGGUGGAUUAUGUGGUUUAAUUCGAUGAUACGCGAGGAACCUUACCAAGACUUAAAUGGGAACUGACAGCUUUAGAAAUAGAGCUUUCUUCGGACAAUUUUCAAGGUGCUGCAUGGUUGUCGUCAGCUCGUGCCGUGAGGUGUUAGGCUAAGUCCUGCAACGAGCGCAACCCCUGUCACUAGUUGCCAUCAUUCAGUUGGGGACUCUAGUGAGACUGCCUACGCAAGUAGAGAGGAAGGUGGGGAUGACGUCAAAUCAUCACGGCCCUUACGUCUUGGGCCACACACGUAAUACAAUGGCCGGUACAGAGGGCAGCUACACAGCGAUGUGAUGCAAAUCUCGAAAGCCGGUCUCAGUUCGGAUUGGAGUCUGCAACUCGACUCUAUGAAGCUGGAAUCGCUAGUAAUCGCGCAUCAGCCAUGGCGCGGUGAAUACGUUCCCGGGCCU
rnacentral:rRNA from 1 species